UACGUAGGCAGCAAGCGUUGUUCGGAGUUACUGGGCGUAAGGAGUGCGUAGGCGGUUUCGCAAGUUUGGUGUGAAAUCUCCCGGCUUAACUGGGAGGGUGCGCCGAAAACUGCGGGGCUGGAGUAGGGGAGAGGUAAGCGGAAUUCCUGGUGUAGCGGUGAAAUGCGUAGAUAUCAGGAGGAACACCGGCGGUGUAGACGGCUUACUGGACCCUGACUGACGCUGAGGCACGAAAGCGUGGGGAGCAAACAGG
rnacentral:rRNA from 1 species